AAGCAAGAAGCGAAUAAUCGCAACCAGCUUCGACCUGGUCACAUAAGUAGAACACCUACUCUUACUUA
rnacentral:tRNA from 1 species